UACGUAGGCGGGCUAAUAAGUCAGUGGUGAAAUCUCUCGGCUCAACCGGGAAACUGCCAUUGAUACUGUUAGUCUUGAGUUCGGUUGAGGUAGGCGGAAUGUGUAAUGUAGCGGUGAAAUGCUUAGAUAUUACACAGAACACCAAUUGCGUAGGCAGCUUACUAGACCGACACUGACGCUGAGGCACGAAAGCGUGGGGAGCGAACAGGAUUAGAUACCCUGGUAGUCC
rnacentral:rRNA from 1 species